GCAAGGUGGCUCCGAUCAGCCAACGGCCACUCUGCAGAGAAGGGGGGAGCUCUGAGCCACCAGCCUCGGACACGGAGCUGCAUCCUAGGCACCUGGUGUGGAACCUAGCUCUGUCACUGCUCCCUGGGCCCUUGCUGCCAUGGUUGGAGGAGACAGAACACAUAAUCAUACAAGAAAAAUGCAAAUUAGAAGGAAGAAGAAAAAAGUCACCUAUUAUUCCAACUCUAGAGAAAACCACUGCUCACCCCUUUUGGACUUUAUCCCAGUCCUUGUCUUGGCACACAUCUGACAUAAAGCCAAAAUGA
rnacentral:lncRNA from 1 species